GGAAAUGUUGGCCCUAAUUUCUUUGUGAUGUCAGCUAAGGCACCCCUGGGCUGCCCUUGGUAGAUCUUAACCAAGCAGUUUGGAACUGUGACCAUCAGCUUCUCAUCUCCACUCUCCUUUGCCAAAGUCUUUGUCCGAGCUACCGAUUUGUUGAUAAGACUGUGCUUGCCAUCCUCGCUACGCAGUUUUCCCUUCAGCCUGAAUUUCUGUGAAUGAAUGCACGAGUGAAUGAGAGAAUGAGUGAACAAACGUGGAGUCCCUCGGCAGGUGCCGAGCAUCGCGCCAGGCACUCUCAGGCAUUAGAACGUUUUGUGAUUCUGCUGGCAUUUUCUGUGUAAGAGUAAUUCAUACCAUUUUAAAUGUUUUCCAGUAUGAAUUAUGUCACAAAAUCCUUAAUUUUAUAUUUCAUUUAAAUUAAAGAGGAAAAAAUGGUUUAUAAUAUAUUUUAAGCAAUGUGUCACUAUAUAAUACUAACAACUGUAAUUGUGGUUAAUAACUAAAAUCUCUUGGAAAAUGUCAAAGAAAUACUUCUGAUGCAACGUUGACUAAAAUACUUUAGAAAUAAAAACAUUCUUAUUUUGCUAUAUCUCUUUAAUUAUAUAAUCAAAAAUUAAUGUUUUCUAGAAAUGCUGGUUAUUUUCUAUUCAAAAAAUUUUGUCACAUAAGUCAUGGGUAAAAUCUGCAGUUGUAAAUUGUUCUUGCUCUUCUGAGGGCCCUGGUCAUGGUCCCGUGCUGUUUAAUAUAAAGAAAAAUAUACUAAAAUACGUCUAAGUUCCAAAUAACAAGUUUCUAGUAAUCGUAUUUUGAGUUUUUCUUUUUCAUUAGGUCUCCUUUCCUUCAAAUUCUCUAGCUCGUAUCUUUCCAUUCUUUACAUAGAUAUUAUGCAUAAAUACAAUUAUACACAGAUUUUUAAUAUUGUCUGUGUUUGUUAACAAACACAGUUGUUAACUAGUUUUGGCUACACAGAUUCUAAGCAGAAUGGUUGAGUAGCCAAAUAUGAUGUGGAAAUAUUUUAAUGUACUUUUCUGGUUCAAGAACACAGGUGAAGAUGAUCUUCUGUUACUUCAGCUCAUUCAGAUCAUGAUGGAAACAUUCUUUGAUCUGUAAAGGGUCAGCGAGCUUUUCUGUAAAGGGCCAGAUAAUAAAGACUUUAGACUUUGUGCACCAUACAGUGGCCUAGCUCUACUACUCAGUUCUGCUAUUGGAACAUGAAAGCUGGUAUAGAUGAUACGUAAAUGAAGGGGUGUAGCUGUGCUUCAAUAAAACUUUAUAAAAACAUAGCUGGAUUUGGCCCAUGGGUCAUAGUUGUUAACCUUUGAUCCCAAGUAUAAUUUCUGUAAGAUCCUUAUGUAUCUUUUCUCUGUUUGAGUUACAUAAUUCAUUUUCAAAGCAAAAAGACUGUGUGUAUGUAUGAUUGUAUGGGUUUGUGUAACCUAAAGCUCUGUAUUUUGUUGUCUUGAAAGUAGAUCUACUCUUGUGGCGUCUGUUCAGGUUUCAAUCUGAUAGGACCAUCAUGAAAGAAGCAUUUGUUGUUGUUGUUGCUGCUGGUGGUGGUGUUCGGGGGGGUGUGCUGUCAGCCAGUUUCCUUGCCUUGUCAUUUAAUGCUAUGGUUCCAGACACCCCAUGUGAUAAGGAGGGUCUCUGUGGUGUCAAAAUAUUGUAGUUUCUCCAAGUUGGGCCUGCUCGUUAACCUUUGGACCAGGACUCCGGCUUGUUGGAGAUGCAAGAUCUCCCCCCACCCCUUGAGGACUCUCAGGUCCCUCCAAGGGGAAUAUGAUAAAAUCUCUGACCUUUGUGCUGCAAAAGCCAAUCUCUUGGAAAAUUUGAAGCAACAGAAAAUGGGUUAUGUGCCUCAUUCGCCAUUUGGCAAGCCACUCUUCCUUUUUCAGACUGCAGAAUGGUGCUGCCUAUUCCCUCUAGAACGGCCUAAAUCUGAGUGCAGAGGAGAGAGAAAUCCAGAAGGAGAGUUCCCUUUUCUCUUACUGGAUAACUUGCCUCAGAUCCUUAACAAGUUCAUUGCAUUAUUUCAGAAUGUCAGAAUGCCUCAUAUCUAAAUGAAAGAAAGCAUCCCUCAGCGUCAGUCUAUUUCCAUGACUGAGCAGUUCAUCUCUUUUAAACUUUGCUUGAGCCCUGCAGCACUCAUGAAAUUACUCCAAGUUACACGACACCAUAGUACUAGUAUAUACGUUGCAGUGCACCAGCCAUCAUGACAGAGAGAAGUUUCACUAGUGGGUUUAUCAAAUAGGCAUUUCACUCUUUGGAAAUUCUAGAGGAGAGGAAGCCUGUAGAUGAGCUGCCUUUCUAGGUCCAGCCUGUGCAGAGUGCUUCAGUUCCGUGGGUGUGAGUGUGAGAGCACACAAACACACACACACAGAAACCCACAUCUAUGCAUGUUAAUAUGCACAGGGUUUUUAUCGCAAAUGUCUUGCUGCUACCGAAUUCUACAGAAUUCUACGGCAAAUUGCUUUCUGGGACACUCCAUGGAGAGAAGGUCAGCUCACUCUUGGGAAAAAUUAUUUCUUAGAAAACAAAUUAGUUUUUUUGGAUUAAUUAAAUAAGGUAUCCCCCAUUUUAAUUCCUGGAUUUGGAAAUUGAAAUGCCAUUCCUCAAUCUCACUGGUCUCAAAUUCACUGAUAAAAUUUUUCCCUUAAUUAGUAAGCGGGGUGAGUAUAACCCCCAGAUCGGUACCCACUGGCCGCUCUUGAACUGAUUUCCAGUCAUGUCCUCCAUAUGUAAUUUUUAUAAAUUAAAGGUAAUAUUGUAUAUUAAAGAUCAAAUAAAGAUGUUCCUUAAGUGAAAGUCUGUUUACUCUUCAUUCGUACCCACUGAUGCCAACCGAGUUCAGUCUUCCUACUUGCAUGACAACUUUGGCUUUUAUAGUAACUGGCAGUCUCCAGUCUCCUAGCUUCAGAGAGCAUUUCUUUUGGUUCAGCUAAACAUUUAUUGGUUUAUUGAUUUUUUUUUUUAAAAGAUUUACUUGUUUUGGAGAGAGAGUGCAUGUGGAGGGGAGGGGCUGAAGGAAAGAGAGAAAUAGAGAAUCUCAAGCAGACUCCCCGUUUGGGAGCCAGCCCAACGCAGGGCUCAGUCCCAGGAUCCUGAGAUCAUGACCUGAGCCCAAGCUGAGAGCUGGAGACUCAACCGACUGAACCACCCAGGUGCCCCUGUAAGGGGUAGUUUUUACUCCAUCUGGUUUUGAGAACUGACAGUCUUCCAGGGUUACCGUGCCUGGUACCACUAAGAUCCAGUCUACCCUCUGAGGUCAUCAAGUUUAAAUGCUCCCUUAAUCACUGGAUCUCAGUCCGUGACAUUAAAAUUUGACCUGAUUCUUGAGCAAAGAUGGGCUUUGAGGGGGCUUGAGGAAUAGGAUCUGCUAGACUUUAGCGGUUUAAUCUCUUGACACUGUAAAGACACAGGAUAUCUAAAACCCUGAGCCCAUGUGGCAUCAAAGAAAGUAGCAGUAAAACCUGAAACAACUAGUUUACAACCAGGGUCUCGUUCUUUCCAGCACAGUGGAUUUCAGCUCGAUCAAAAUUUCAAACAAGGGAAUAUACAUUGUGGCCACAUCAAAAUUCAUUGCAGACUUACCUCUUCAAGAGCAACUAAAACAGGACCAGUAUACCCUAACGCUGGUUAACAGAGGAUGCCACAGCUCCUGGCUGCGGGACAAAGUGAGACUAAGGACUCGCUGGGACCUCCAGUGGCUCCGACACAGUCCUUCCAGCCCCGGAGCUCAUGCCCCACCGACACCAAG